AUAUGCAAUCACACCAGUGCUAAUGCUACAAUCCCAUGAGAACUUCGAAGUUUAGCAUUCUUGGUAAGAGUAGUAAUAGGAUGGGUGAACCCCUAGAAGUCCUUGUGUUGCAUCCC
rnacentral:rRNA from 1 species